rnacentral:rRNA from 1 species
UACGUAGGGUGCAAGCGUUAAUCGGAAUUACUGGGCGUAAAGCGUGCGCAGGCGGUUAUGCAAGACAGAUGUGAAAUCCCCGGGCUCAACCUGGGAACUGCAUUUGUGACUGCAUAGCUAGAGUGCGGCAGAGGGAGAUGGAAUUCCGCGUGUAGCAGUGAAAUGCGUAGAUAUGCGGAGGAACACCGAUGGCGAAGGCAAUCUCCUGGGCCUGCACUGACGCUCAUGCACGAAAGCGUGGGGAGCAAACAGG